rnacentral:rRNA from 1 species
UACGAAGGGGGCUAGCGUUGUUCGGAUUUACUGGGCGUAAAGCGCACGUAGGCGGAUCGAUCAGUCAGGGGUGAAAUCCCAGAGCUCAACUCUGGAACUGCCUUUGAUACUGUCGAUCUGGAGUAUGGAAGAGGUGAGUGGAAUUCCGAGUGUAGAGGUGAAAUUCGUAGAUAUUCGGAGGAACACCAGUGGCGAAGGCGGCUCACUGGACCGUUGUUGACGCUGAGGUGCGAAAGCGUGGGGAGCAAACAGG